UUUUAAAAAGCAGCGAUCAUGGGAAGAAUUUUAUAUGAGUUCUACUUCAAAAUCACCUGAAGAAUCAUUGCUUAUUAUACCUGCACACUUCCGUAUCACCAACUAAUCAUCCAAAGUGGCACCUUUUCUUUGGGCAGAUGAGCUUUUGUUAACUUUUAUCCUUCAAGAUUGAGCGUGAGGUUGUUAAAACUGCAACAAGAGAUUAAAGAUGAAAAGCUCAAGCAUGUAAAUAAAAAAGUCCUUUAAAAAACAGCUUUGGAGGCACUUAGCAAGAGACAAUGCGCAACAGAAAAAUUAUACGGUACACACAAUUAGUUGUAACGUCGACUCUUUUAUAUUCUCACUUCAUUUUAAUGUUUUACGCAAAAUAAUGUUUUAAGUAAAUUAUCAAAUUUUGUUCAA